GCAAACGGGGUAGUAAUACGUAGGUGACGUACCCCAGGGACCGGGAUAGCCAGGGGAAACCUUGGGUAAUACCGGAUGAGCUCACGGAGCGUGAUGGUUCAGUGAGCAAAUGGUGAGAUUCCGCCCUGGGAGCGGCUUACGCGGUAUUAGCUAGUUGGUGAGGUAACGGCUCACCAAGGCGAAGAUGCCUAGAGGGUGUUAGCGCAUGGCCCUCACCACUGGGACUGAGACACUGCCCAGACACCUACGGGUGGCUGCAGUCGAGAAUCUUCCGCAAUGGGCGCAAGCCUGACGGAGCGACGCCGCGUGCAGGAUGAAGGCCUUCGGGUUGUAACCUGCUGUUGGAGGGGAGGAAAUCUGCGGGGGUUAUCCCCCGUGGUUGACCGAGCCUCUGAGGAAGCCCGGGCUAAGUACGUGCCAGCAGCCGCGGUAACACGUACUGGGCGAACGUUAUUCGGAAUCACUGGGCUUAAAGGGUGCGUAGGCGGCCUGUCAAGUAGGGUGUGAAAUCCCCCGGCUCAACCGGGGAACGGCGUCCUAAAC
rnacentral:rRNA from 1 species